rnacentral:rRNA from 1 species
CAGCCGCCGCGGUAAUACGGAGGGUGCAAGCGUUAAUCGGAAUUACUGGGCGUAAAGCGCGCGUAGGCGGUCUUGCAAGUGGAUUGUGAAAUCCCCGGGCUCAACCCGGGAACUGCAAUCCAAACUGCUUGACUAGAGAUCGGUAGAGGGAGGUGGAAUUCCUGGUGUAGCGGUGAAAUGCGUAGAGAUCAGGAAGAACAUCGGUGGCGAAGGCGACCUCCUGGACUGUGUCUGACGCUGGGGUGCGAAAGCGUGGGUAGCGAACAGGAUUAGAUACCCUGGUAGUCCACGCCGUAAACGAUGAGAACUAGCUGCUGGGAUGCUUGACAUCUUGGUAGCGUAGCUAACGCGUUAAGUUCUCCGCCUGGGGAGUACGGCCGCAAGGUUAAAACUCAAAGAAAUUGACGGGGGCCCGCACAAGCGGUGGAGCAUGUGGUUUAAUUCGAUGCAACGCGAAGCACCUUACCUACCCUUGACAUCCUCGGAAGCUUUCAGAGAUGAGAGUGUGCCUUAACCGGAACCGAGAGACAGGUGCUGCAUGGCUGUCGUCAGCUCGUGUCGUGAGAUGUUGGGUUAAGUCCCGUAACGAGCGCAACCCCUAUCCUUAGUUACCAGCGGUUCGGCCGGGAACUCUAAGGAGACUGCCGGUGUUAAACCGGAGGAGGGUGGGGAUGACGUCAAGUCAUCAUGGCCUUUAUGGGUAGGGCUACACACGUGCUACAAUGGACGAUACAAAGGGUUGCCAACCCGCAAGGGGGAGCUAAUCCCAGAAAGUCGUUCGUAGUCCGGAUUGGGGUCUGCAACUCGACCCCAUGAAGUUGGAAUCGCUAGUAAUCGCAAAUCAGAAUGUUGCAGUGAAUACGUUCUCGGGCCUUGUACACACCGCCCGU